rnacentral:misc_RNA from 1 species
UUUCCGUAGGUGAACCUGCGGAAGGAUCAUUAACGAGUUAGGGUCUUCUAGGCCCGACCUCCCAACCCUUUGUUUACUGAACCAUUGUUGCCUCGGUGGGUCCGUCUUACGACCGCCGGGGGAUCGCCGCGAGGCGCCCCCUGGCCAGCGCCCACCGAUAGCCCAACCUUUAAAACCCUUUGUGAAUCGUGUCUUAUGUCUAAAUUUAUGAAUAAACAAUCAAAACAAAACUUUCAACAACGGAUCUCUUGGUUCUG